rnacentral:lncRNA from 1 species
CCCACGCCUAAGAUCCUCGUGAGCCAGCAUGAGAAGGCUUUUGGACGUCCAUCCGCGUGGGUGUUGUAAAAAUUAUACCAUCACAGUAAUGCUACAGUGAACCUCAUUUGAUGUGAAUCUUGGCACAUCACCAAGAUCAUCUUGGCACGGGCUGAUCAACACCCUCACUGGGUAUAGAAGAGGAUAAGAAGCAAGCCUUGUCCUGUUAAGCCACUGAAGCCAGGGGCUGUUUGGUACCAGCUGUGUCUCAUGGUUGGCUAACAACGAGCCUGAAGAAGCUCCAACUUGGGAAUCUACAUACCAGCAUUUCGGGGAGACCCAGGCUUGCUCUGCACCCACUCUUCUGUGCAUUUCAGUAUCACAGCCCCAUUGGUCCAGGCCAUGUGGCCCUGCCUGCCUGAAGACUGAAUUAGUCCAUGUGUCUAUGGAACAGAGGCGAGCAAGCAGGUUGGUGGUGUCAAUGUCCCUGGUGGAUGAGGGUUUGGCUUUCGCUCAUGAUGCACGCCACAGAAUUUUGGUAACAUCUUGAAGAGUUUAUAACUUGUAAAUAGCUCUGCCCCACUGAGAAGCCUCAAACAUCAUUAUCCUUACUGUUGACCUAAGGUCAAUGUUGUUUCC